rnacentral:sRNA from 1 species
GGAAACGAGAAUAAAACGUGAAGGAUAACGUUGCGUCAGCAACGGCCCGUAGGGCGAGGCGAAGCCGAGUCAUCCUGCACGACCCACCA